UGUAUCUGAAGCCUGACGAGGAUGAGAACCUCCGGGGGCAAGAGGUUCGACCCGAGCGAAGCGAGAGAACGUUGCGCCAGCAACGGCCCGCAGGGCGAGCCACGCAGUGGCGAGUCAUCCUCUAUCACCGGCAG
rnacentral:sRNA from 2 species